CCUACGGGCGGCAGCAGUGAGGAAUAUUGGUCAAUGGGCGGGAGCCUGAACCAGCCAAGUCGCGUGAAGGAAGAAGGUACUUAGUAUUGUAAACUUCUUUUGUCGGGGAACAAAGGCGGAGACGCGUCUCCGGCUGAGUGUACCCGAAGAAAAAGCAUCGGCUAACUCCGUGCCAGCAGCCGCGGUAAUCCGGAGGAUGCGAGCGUUAUCCGGAUUUAUUGGGUUUAAGGGGUGCGCAGGCGGGAGAUCAAGUCAGCGGUAAAAUGUCGGGGCACAGGCCCGGCCGGCCGUUGAAACUGGUUUUCUAGAGUGGGAGAGAAGUAGGCGGAAUGCGUGGUGUAGCGGUGAAAUGCAUAGAUAUCACAAAGAACUCCGAUUGCGAAGGCAGCAUACCGGGUCCAGACUGACGCUGAGGCACGAAAGCGUGGGGAUCGAACAGGAUUAGAUACCCGAGUAGUC
rnacentral:rRNA from 1 species